AGGACGAACGCUGGCGGCGUGCUUAACACAUGCAAGUCGAACGAGGUUCAAUCAAUCGCAAGAACGAGGACGACCUAGUGGCGAACGGGUGCGUAACACGUGAGGAACCUAUCCCAGUCUCUGGAAUAACAAGUGGAAACACUUGCUAAUACCGGAUGUCGUUGGAGCACCGCAUGGUGGACCAACGAAAGAUUUAUCGGUCUGGGAGGGCCUCGCGGCCUAUCAGCUAGUUGGUGAGGUAACGGCUCACCAAGGCGUCGACGGGUA
rnacentral:rRNA from 1 species